CAGUAGUGAGGCUGUAGUGAGGUGACAGUAGUGAGGCUGUAGUGAGGUGACAGUAGUGAGGCUGUAGAGGUGAGGUGACAGUAGUGAGGCUGUAGUGAGGUGACAGUAGUGAGGCUGUAGUGAGGUGACAGUAGUGAGGCUGUAGUGAGGUGACAGUAGUGAGGCUGUAGUGAGGUGACAGUAGUGAGGCUGUAGUGAGGUGACAGUAGUGAGGCUGUAGUGAGGUGACAGUAGUGAGGCUGUAGUGAGCUGACACUAGGACAGUAGUGAGUCUCUCCAGCCUGAUGGUGCAUUCCGUGCGACGCGUUCUGCUGACGCCUCCGUCUGAACUUUAUUAAUAACUCCUUCCUCCAGCGCUGAGUCUCACUUAUCUCUCGUUCUGCUUCUGUCUUCUCAGGACUAUCGACAUACUGGGAGGAUUAACCACCCCCCCUCCCAGGCCUGCUGAGCCCCCCAGCACCCCUCAACAGCCAAUCAGCAGCCUGCUCUCCGUCCACUCCCUGGAGCCGGAAUGUUUUUUUCCUUCAAAUUUUGGUUGUCGACCUGGACCACCCAGACCCUGCAGACCCGGACCCCCCAGACCCCCAGACCCCCCAGACCCGGACCCCAGACCCCCAGACCUGGAC
ensembl:lncRNA